rnacentral:rRNA from 1 species
CCCGGUGAAGUUUUAACGGCCGCAGUUGGUAGCUGUGCUAAGGUAGCGUAGUAAGUUGUCCUUUAAAUGGGGAAAGGUAUGAAUGGUUUGACGUGAGGGAUGCUGUCUCAGAUGGAGGAAAAGAAAUUUUCUUUUUGGUGAAAAGCCCAAAAUAAAAUUAAAAGACGAGAAGACCCUUUCGAGCUUGAUAAUAAUUAGGAAGCGGUUUUUAAUUGAAGUUUGGUUGGGGCAACUUAGGAGCAAGAGUAGACUCCUAGAGGUGGUAUGGAUCCAAAAGUUUUGAAUUAAGAAAAAGCUACCGUAGGGAUAACAGCGUUAUCUUUUCUAAGAGAACAAAUUGAAGAAAAG